CUGCGGAGGAUCAUUACUGAAUUGUCAACACGAGUUGUUGCUGGUCCCCAAAUGGGGGCAUGUGCACACUCUGUUCACACAUCCAUUCACACCUGUGCACCCCAUGUAGUUCUAUGGUUUGGGGGGUUCUCUGCCCUCUGCUGUGGUUCUAUAUCUUUACACACGCUCUGUAAUAAAGUCUUAUGGAAUGUAUGCAGCGUUUAACGCAAUACAAUACAACUUUCAGCAACGGAUCUCUUGGCUCUCGCAUCGAUGAAGAACGCAGCGAAAUGCGAUAAGUAAUGUGAAUUGCAGAAUUCAGUGAAUCAUCGAAUCUUUGAACGCACCUUGCGCCCUUUGGCUAUUCCGAAGGGCAUGCCUGUUUGAGUAUCAUGAACACCUCAACUCUCAUGGUUUGCCAUGAUGAGCUUGGACUUUGGGGGUCUUGCUGGCCUGUGGUCGGCUCCUCUCAAACGAAUCAGCUUUCUAGUGUUUGGUGGCAUCACAGGUGUGAUAAAUAUCUACACUUGCGGUUUCCUGCCAAGUAACCUUUCAGCAAUGGAGGUUCGCUGGGGCUCAUAAAUGUCUCUCCUCGGUGGGGACACCUUUGUGAAUGUUUGAUCUCAAAUCAGGUAGGACUACCCGCUGAACUUAAGCAUAUCAAUAAGCGGAGGAA
rnacentral:rRNA from 1 species